AGCUGGGGGCCUGGACCCCUGGGUCUGAGGGAGGAGGGGGCUGGGUUGUGGACUCUUGGAUUCAGAGCCAGUCUUUAGUAACGCACGUUUUUGGCAUAAAGUGGUUUUAUUCCGAGCAGAGGUAAACGGGAGCUCCGGCAGACCCGCCCUCUCAGCGCCCACAGAAAGUCCCACCACCCACCCUGUUCCCCUGUGGCUGUACCACAUUCCACUCCCUCAGUAUUCAGCUCCUUGCCUCAGUUUCCCCACAGCUCCUGAACACAGUGUGCCUGGCAGCGACUCCCCAUCUUCCCCUCCACAGCUCUAGCAGCUCUAGCUCGGGGCCUCACCCGGGCCCCUCAUCAGGAAGGCCUGACCCUCGGGAGCUGUGUGUGUCUUCUUUAGGAUCCGCUGCCUGGGGACGCUGCCAGCCCAUCUUCUGGGUUGUGACACUGAGGUCUGGUGCAGGCAAUGGGCUUGCCCAAGUCCUUUUUUUUGUUUGAGAUGAAAUCUCGCUCUGUCACCCAGGCUGGAGUGCAGUGGCGUGAUCUCAGCUCACUGCAACCUCCGCCUCCCGGGUUCAAGCAAUUCUCCCGUCUCAGCCUCCUAAGUAGCUGGGAUUACAGGCGCCCGCCACCACACCUGGCUAAUUUUUGUAUUUGGUAGAGAUGGGGUUUCACCAUGUUGGUCAGGUUGGUCUUGAACUCCUGACCUCAGGUGAUCCACAUGCCUCAGCCUCCCAAAGUGCUGGGAUUACAGGAGUGAGCCACCUCGAUCAGCCUUUCUUUUUCUUUUUUCUUUUUUUUUUUUUUUUAAAGAGAUGGCCUCUCACUGUGUUGCCCA
rnacentral:lncRNA from 1 species